rnacentral:rRNA from 1 species
GACGAACGCUGGCGGCGUGCCUAAUACAUGCAAGUUGAGCGAUGAAGACUGGUGUUUGCACCAUUUUGAAGAGCAGAGAACGGGAGAGUAACGUGAGGGGCAUCUGCCUUUCAGUGGGGGACAAUAAGUGGAAACGAAUUCUAAUACGGCAUAACAACUUUAAACAUGAGUUUUAAGUUUACAAGAUGCCAUUGCAUCAUUCAAAGAUGAUUUCGCGGUGUAUUAGCUAGUUGGUGAGGUAAGGGCUCAUCAAGGCGAUGUUACAUAGCCGGCCUGAGCGGACGAUCGGCCACCGUGGGAGUGAGACAGGCCCCAAACUCCUAGAGGAAGCAGCCGUACGGCAACUUCGGCGAUCAGCGGGAGUCAGACCACGCAACGCCGUAUGAGUGAAGAAGGUUUUCGGCUCGUAAAUCUCUGUUUGUAGAGAGGAACGUUAGUGAGACUGGAAAGCUCAUCAAGUGACGGUAACGGCCCAGAAAGGGACGGCUAACUACGUG